rnacentral:rRNA from 1 species
UACGAAGGGGGCUAGCGUUGCUCGGAAUCACUGGGCGUAAAGGGUGCGUAGGCGGGUCUUUAAGUCAGGGGUGAAAUCCUGGAGCUCAACUCCAGAACUGCCUUUGAUACUGAAGAUCUUGAGUUCGGGAGAGGUGAGGUGGAACUGCGAGUGUAGAGGUGAAAUUCGUAGAUAUUCGCAAGAACACCAGUGGCGAAGGGCGGCUCACUGGCCCGAUACUGACGCUGAGGCACGAAAGCGUGGGGAGCAAACAGGG